rnacentral:rRNA from 1 species
GACGAACGCUGGCGGCGUGCUUAACACAUGCAAGUCGAACGGAAAGGCCCUGCUUUUGUGGGGUGCUCGAGUGGCGAACGGGUGAGUAAAACGUGUGUAACCUGCCCUUGACUUUGGGAUAACUUCAGGAAACUGGGGCUAAUACCGGAUAGGAGCUCCUGCUGCAUGGUGGGGGUUGGAAAGUUUCGGCGGUUGGGGAUGGACUCGCGGCUUAUCAGCUUGUUGGUGGGGUAGUGGCUUACCAAGGCUUUGACGGGUAGCCGGCCUGAGAGGGUGACCGGCCACAUUGGGACUGAGAUACGGCCCAGACGCCUACGGGAGGCAGCAGUGGGGAAUAUUGCACAAUGGGCGGAAGCCUGAUGCAGCAACGCCGCGUGCGGGAUGACGGCCUUCGGGUUGUAAACCGCUUUCGCCUGUAACGAAGCGUGAGUGACGGUAAUGGGUAAAGAAGCACCGGCUAACUACGCG